UUUCCGUAGGUGAACCUGCGGAAGGAUCAUUAUUGGAUUUUGAAACUUCAGGCUGCUGCUGGCUCUCCUCGGAGGGCAUGUGCACGCUUGUUGUCCAUUAUUUCUCCCACUGUGCACAAAUUGUAGACCUUUCAGUAGGCCUAUGUUGUUUUUCACAAUCUCUGAAUCUAAUAGAAUGGUUUUGAAUCUUGGGAAAUACAAUACAACUUUCAGCAACGGAUCUCUUGGCUCUC
rnacentral:misc_RNA from 1 species